rnacentral:rRNA from 1 species
UGGGGAAUCUUGGACAAUGGGCGCAAGCCUGAUCCAGCCAUGCCGCGUGAGUGAAGAAGGCCUUAGGGUUGUAAAGCUCUUUUACCAGGGACGAUAAUGACGGUACCUGGAGAAUAAGCCCCGGCAAACUUCGUGCCAGCAGCCGCGGUAAUACGAAGGGGGCUAGCGUUGUUCGGAAUUACUGGGCGUAAAGCGCACGUAGGCGGGUCGUUAAGUCAGGGGUGAAAUCCCGGAGCUCAACUCCGGAACUGCCUUUGAUACUGGCGAUCUAGAGGUCGAGAGAGGUGAGUGGAAUUCCGAGUGUAGAGGUGAAAUUCGUAGAUAUUCGGAAGAACACCAGUGGCGAAGGCGGCUCACUGGCUCGAUACUGACGCUGAGGUGCGAAAGCGUGGGGAGCAAACA